GAUGAACGCUGGCGGCGUGCCUAAUACAUGCAAGUAGAACGCUGAAGGAGGAGCUUGCUCUUCUGGAUGAGUUGCGAACGGGUGAGUAACGCGUAGGUAACCUGCCUGGUAGCGGGGGAUAACUAUUGGAAACGAUAGCUAAUACCGCAUGACAACAGUUAUUGCAUGAUAACUGUUUAAAAGGGGCAACUGCUCCACUACCAGAUGGACCUGCGUUGUAUUAGCUAGUUGGUGAGGUAACGGCUCACCAAGGCGACGAUACAUAGCCGACCUGAGAGGGUGGUCGGCCACACUGGGACUGAGACACGGCCCAGACUCCUACGGGAGGCAGCAGUAGGGAAUCUUCGGCAAUGGACGGAAGUCUGACCGAGCAACGCCGCGGGAGUGAAGAAGGUUUUCGGAUCGUAAAGCUCUGUUGUAAGAGAAGAACGAGUGUGAGAGUGGAAAGUUCACACUGUGACGGUAUCUUACCAGAAAGGGACGGCUAACUACGUG
rnacentral:rRNA from 1 species